AGACACAGUCUCGCUCUGUCUCUUAGGCAUGAUCUUGGCUCACUGCAACCUCCACCUCCUGGGUUCAAGUGAUUCUUCUGCCUCAGUCUCCCAAGUCAAACAGGAUUUAUGCAUCAUCCAUCAUUUUUUACGUCUGAGCCACCAAGUAUUUAUCAGUGGGUGAGUUCUUGUCUGAAGGGCGAAGGAAUGCCGCCUUAUCCUUACCUCCCUGGAAUCUGUGAAAGAAGCAGACUUGUAGUCUUGAGUAUUGCACUGUACAUACUUGGUGAUGAGAGCUCAGUUUCUGAUGAAUCCUCACAGUAUUUAACCAGAAUAACUGUAGCCCCCCAGAAGUUGCAAGCAGAACAAGAGGAAAACAGGUUUAGUUUCAGGCAUUCUACGUCUGUUUCUAGUCUAGCUGAAAGAUUGGUUGGCUGGAUGACUAAUGUAGGAUUCACUUUAAGAGAUUUGGAAACUCUUCCCUUUGGAAUUGCUCUUCCCAUCAGAGAUGCAAUUUAUCACUGUCGUGAGCAGCCUGCCUCAGACUGGCCAGAAGCUGUCUGUCUCUUGACUGGACGUCAGGAUCUUUCCAAGCAGGCCUGCGAAGGAAACUUACCCAAAGGGAAGUCUGUACAGAAACUGAGGAGGAAGAUGACGGCAUGAAUGACAUGAAUCACGAGGUCAUGUCAUUAAUAUGGAGUGAAGAUUUAAGGGUGCAGGAUGUGCGAAGGCUUCUUCAGAGUGCGCAUCCUGUCCGUGUCAACGUAGUGCAGUACCCAGAGCUCAGUGACCACGAGUUCAUCGAGGAAAAGGAAAACAGAUUGCUCCAAUUGUGUCAGCGAACUAUGGCUCUUCCUGUAGGACGAGGAAUGUUUACCUUGUUUUCGUACCAUCCUGUUCCAACAGAGCCAUUGCCUAUUCCUAAAUUGAAUCUGACUGGGCGUGCCCCUCCUCGGAACACAACAGUAGACCUUAAUAGUGGAAACAUCGAUGUGCCUCCCAACAUGACAAGCUGGGCCAGCUUUCAUAAUGGUGUGGCUGCUGGCCUGAAGAUAGCUCCUGCCUCCCAGAUCGACUCAGCUUGGAUUGUUUACAAUAAGCCCAAGCAUGCUGAGUUGGCCAAUGAGUAUGCUGGCUUUCUCAUGGCUCUGGGUUUGAAUGGGCACCUUACCAAGCUGGCGACUCUCAAUAUCCAUGACUACUUGACCAAGGGCCAUGAAAUGACAAGCAUUGGACUGCUACUUGGUGUUUCUGCUGCAAAACUAGGCACCAUGGAUAUGUCUAUUACUCGGCUUCUUAGCAUUCGCAUUCCUGCUCUCUUACCCCCAACGUCCACAGAGCUGGAUGUUCCUCACAAUGUCCAAGUGGCUGCAGUGGUUGGCAUUGGCCUUGUAUAUCAAGGGACAGCUCACAGACAUACUGCAGAAGUCCUGUUGGCUGAGAUAGGACGGCCUCCUGGUCCUGAAAUGGAAUACUGCACUGACAGAAAGUCAUACUCCUUAGCUGCUGGCUUGGCCCUGGGCAUGGUCUGCUUGGGGCAUGGCAGCAAUUUGAUAGGUAUGUCUGAUCUCAAUGUGCCUGAGCAGCUCUAUCAGUACAUGGUUGGAGGACAUAGGCGCUUUCAAACAGGAAUGCAUAGGGAGAAACAUAAAUCACCAAGUUAUCAAAUCAAAGAAGGAGAUACCAUAAAUGUGGAUGUGACUUGUCCAGGUGCUACUCUAGCUUUGGCUAUGAUCUACUUAAAAACCAAUAACAGGUAUUUCUACCCACUCACCCUUCCUCCCACGGUGAUAGUGUGAUAUCCUCUCUGACCUUGGUUGUAAAAUUCAGUUAUCUCAUGUGUUUCUUUCCCCUGUGCUGGAUUAAGCUGAUUUUCGUUCUUUCAAGUACUGUAAGUUUUUGAAAGAAAACUGGCAGUAUUUGAAGUUAUAAAGAUUUUACCUAGAAAUAAUGUAUUUGGCUAUUUUAAUUGUAUUUGACAAUAUAGUUUUCAAUUUCUGUUCAUUUCUGUUUUGUAGUUGAUGUCAGUAACACCCAAACAAUGCCCAUGUUUGUUUUCAUUAAUUUAGCAUAUUGCUGUGAGGACUGGUUAAGCCAGAAAUACUUAUCAUUAGUGUGAUCUUGGCUACCAUGUAAAACAAUGGUUUUUGCCU
rnacentral:lncRNA from 1 species